AAGAAGGAAGGGAGAAAAGGGAAGAGAGGCAAGAAGGAAGAGAGGGAUGAAGAAGGGAAGGAAGGAGGGAGAAAGGAAGGAAGGAGGAAGGAAGAAGAGGAGGGAGGAGGGAAGAGAAGAAGAGAGAGAAGGAAGGAAGGGAGGGAGAAAGGGAAAGAGAAGUCCCGAAAAGGACAAGGAAAAGAUAUGAGGACAUACACUCUCAAUUCGGACUGAGCUAAGGAGCUCUAGACCAUAGCCAAGGGUGGUCCCCAUCCCCAAAGUAAACAAAUACUUGCUGCUUGUUGCUCGCGGUAAAGCCGAGCGAGGGGCAGCUGCAGGCGGCCUCUGGACCGCAGCACAUUCCGGGAUAAGCUGACAGUCCGGGGUCGCCUUGACUGGGAGGGAGCCCUGAAGGUGGCUCUCCCACACCAGUGGGGUGUCCCCUUGACCGUUCGGACACAUAGGAAGGCUCCACUGAGGAACUGUGGGCACUCCCUGCCCGGGCUUUGCAAGGGAGGGGUUAAAGCUGCUGCAGGGACUGGUGAGAGGGGAGGCCUCUGGUCCCGAUGAUUCCAGAACUCGGGCUCAGAAGCUGCCCAGACGUAUUCGGGGGCGUCACUUAGAGCUCCCACAGUUACCGGGAGGGGCCGCCAGGCCGGGGGUCUUGGUGCAUUUUGGGGUCCGGAGCAAUAGGCGGCCGGCGGGAUACAAAAUGACCCCACACACACACACACACACACAAUAGUGGAGGUGCUCGUUGUCAGGAAUAGCCCCUCAAACAACCCCACCGGGAGGACGCCUGAGCAGAUCCCGGGGGCUGCGCAUGAGCGCUGAGCCGGGCCAGCUCCCUCCUACCCCUGUGUCGGGGGUCAAGCCCGACGGCUCCGGGGCGGGCGGCUUCUGGCCUCUCGGGCCAGGGUGGGGGGAGCUGGAAGCCGGGUUGGAAAACAGCGGGAAGCGUUCCCCGCACAACGAGGAGUUCGGGUGGGAGCACUGAGAGGAGAAACUGGGGGGGGGGGAGAAGGACCCACACAUUUUAUUUCCCUGCCUGAAAGGAAACGAGGGUUUCCACGGGGGUCUCUUAUCACACCCACGGGUCCUCUUUUCAGGUUUACAGACUGGAGCUGGAGAUUGGGCAGUAGGAGAAACAUCUCUUGUUAUACAGGUUUGGCAGCUUUAGACAAUGGCCCACAUUCACCUGGGGAGCAUUCCAAGCCCGGCGUCGCCCGCGCCGGAGAAUCAGCCGGACGAUAAACGAGACAGCACACGACUGCCAACGAACCUCAAAGGUACACCAGUGGAUCACUCCUGGGGUAACAAACACUGAUGAGAAAACGGGAAAUGAUACCCAUACAGAGCCGCGCUGGGACGGCCCUCCAGCCAGAAGAGAGAACAUCCUUUCUUUUCCUGUUGAGAACCAGCAAGCACCGAGUCGUCACAUUAAGAGCUGUUGAAGAUAAUCAGUCUUGUAUGGCCAAAAAGAUCCAGAAUAACUCAAGGACUGGGUUCAAAGGAGGACUUGCCUUUUUGAAAAGAUUCAGUAGGGUUUUCUGCUAGCCAGCCUAGCAGGUCUCCACUUUGAACAAUAAAAACUAUUCUCUGCUUCUCAGAGAUUACUGAAGUGAAAAGAACUAUUAGCCCCUGAGGCACUGUUUGCAAGACUGAUUCAGCUGUACAGUUAGGAUUCAACGAAUGAGAAAAAUACAAUCACUACAUUUGUGAAUGUGGAAGACCACUGGCUCCAAUCUGAAUUUAAGCCUAUACUCUGCAAUAUAAGUGCCAAGUGGUCAUCAAACCUUUGAUGGAGGACUUCUAGCUAGGAGGAAUCUACUUCCUCUUGAGAAUUCUUCACUGUUUGGAAGAUUCCUUCAAAGAUGGCUCAAGUUGAGCCCGUCCUGUGAUCUCACUCUGCUUUGUAGUCCACCACAACCAGGACAUCAGACAAUAAUCAGAGGGAUUUGUUGUACUAGCUAGGAUCUUCUCUGAACUUCAACUGACCCAACCAUGAGUCUGAGUAGUCUCAGUCACAGGGGUGGGAAAGUCUGUUGGGCAAAGAUUUUGGUCUAAAGCAGUGGGAAAAACACUGGAUUUGGACUCAGAACAUAAAGUUUUGAAUUCUAUCUCUGCCAUUCUGGGGAAAAUCACUUAGCUUUAGUGUAAAGUCCCUUCCAUUUCCAAAACUAUAAUUUUAUUUUCUCUAAGGUUCCUUCUAGUUAAAAAUCUUACAACCCCUCUCUUGCCUUCUCUAGACAUUCAUUACCAUCUCUCCAAGUUUCUUCACUUAGGAGAAAAGGUUUUUUCCCCCUAUAUUAAAGCUUUUUAUUUCUAAAACAUAUAUAUAGAUAAUUUUCAACAUUCACCUCUGUAAAACUUGUGUUCCAAAAUUUUUUUCCUUUCCUUCCUCCCACCCCUUUCCCUAGACAUCAAGUGAUCCAAUAUAUGUUAAACAUGUGCAAUUCUUCUAUGCAUAUUUCCACAAUUAUCAUGCUGCACAAGAAAAAUAAGAUCACAAAGGAAAAAAAUGAGAAAGAAAACAAAACACAAGCAAACAAUAACAAAAAGAGUAAAAUAAUACAUUGUGAUCCACACUCUGUCCCCACUGUUCUCUCUCUGGGUGCAGAUGGCUCUCUUCAUCACAAGAUCAUUGGAACUGGCCUGAAACAUCUCAUAUUGAAAAGAGCCAUGUUUGUUAGAAUUGAUCAUUAUAUAGUCUUCUUGUUGCCAUGUAUAAUGAUCUCCUGGUCCUGCUCAUUUCACUCAGCAUCAGUUCCUGUAAGUUUCUCCAAGCCUUUCUGAAAUCAUCCUGCUGGUCAUUUCUUAAAGAACAAUAAUAUUCCAUAAUAUUCAUGUACCACAAUUUAUUCAGCCAUUCUCCAACUGAUGGGCAUCUACUCAAUUUCCAGUUCCUUUCCACUACUAAAAGAGCUGCCACAAACAUUUUUGUAUACAUAGGUCCUUUUCCUUUAUGAUCUCUUUGGGAUACAGACUCAAUAGAGACAUUGCUGGAUCAAAGGCACAGUUUGAUAGCCUAUUGGGCAGAGUUCCAGAUUGCUCUCCAGAAUGCUUGGAUCAGUUCAUAACUCCACCAACAAUGUAUCAGUGUCCCAGUUUUCCCACAUCCCUUCCAACAUUCAUCAUUAUCUUUUCCUGUCAUCUUAGCCAAUCUAAGAGGUGGGUAGUGGUACCUCAGAGAUGUCUUAAUUUGCAUUUGUCUGAUAAUGACUUAGAGCAUUUUUUAAUAUGAUUAUAAAUGGUUUUAAUUUCUUCAUCUGAAAAUUGUCUGUUAAUAUCCUUUGACCAUUUAACAAUUGGAGAAUGGCUUGAAUUCUUAUAAAUUUGAAUCAAUUUUCGAUAUAUUUUAGAAAUGAGGCCUUUAUCAGAACCCUUGGAUAUAAAUAUUUUUGGGAAAAGGUUUUUAUUCCUUGUUUCUUCCAG